UGUAAUUUUGUUUUAUGUCUGAUAUUAUGAAAAGAAAGUUCGUUGCCCUUGAAAUUUCGGGCAAGAACUAUAUGACAUGGGUGUUGGAUGCUAAAAUCCAUGUGGAUGCAAUGGGUCUUGGAGACGCCAUUAAAGACAGAAAUAAUGCAUCCACCCAAGACUAUGCUAAGGCCUUGAUUUUCUUGCGCCAUCACCUUGAUGAAGGUUUGAAAUUGUGCUAAGGCCUCGAUUUUCUUGCGCCAUCACCUUGAUGAAGGUUUGAAACUGUGCUUAGGCCUUGAUUUUCUUGCGCCAUGACCUUGACGAAGGUUUGAAAAUUGAAUAUAUCACAGUCAAAGAUCCAUUUAUAUUGUGGAAUGGCUUAAAGGAGAGAUUUGACAACCUGAAGUUGGUCACUCUACCACAAGCACGAAUGAUGAGAAUCCAAAAGCAAAUAGUUCAUAAACUAUAUGUUACCGCUGCAGUGGAAAAGGGCACUGGUCAAGAAUUUGCCGUGUACCAAAAUAUUUGAUUUUGAUUGCUUUUA
rnacentral:lncRNA from 1 species